rnacentral:rRNA from 1 species
GAUGAACGCUGGCGGCGUGCCUAAUACAUGCAAGUCGAGCGAACAGACGAGGAGCUUGCUCCUCUGACGUUAGCGGCGGACGGGUGAGUAACACGUGGAUAACCUACCUAUAAGACUGGGAUAACUUCGGGAAACCGGAGCUAAUACCGGAUAAUAUAUUGAACCGCAUGGUUCAAUAGUGAAAGACGGUUUUGCUGUCACUUAUAGAUGGAUCCGCGCCGCAUUAGCUAGUUGGUAAGGUAACGGCUUACCAAGGCAACGAUGCGUAGCCGACCUGAGAGGGUGAUCGGGCACACUGGAACUGAGACACGGUCCAGACUCCUACGGGAGGCAGCCGUAGGGAAUCUUCCGCAAUGGGCGAAAGCCUGACGGAGCAACGCCGCGUGAGUGAUGAAGGUCUUCGGAUCGUAAAACUCUGUUAUUAGGGAAGAACAAAUGUGUAAGUAACUAUGCACGUCUUGACGGUACCUAAUCAGAAAGCCACGGCUAACUACGUG